CGCUGGCGGCGUGCCUAACACAUGCAAGUCAACUCGACUGAAGGAGCAAUCUGACAGUAGAGUGGCGCAAGGGUGCGUAACGCGUAAGUAACUUGCCCCAAGGUAAGGAAUAACGUCGAGAAAUCGGCGCUAAUACCUCAUAAUGCAGCGGAUCCGCAUGGAUAUGUUGUUAAAGGUUUACCGCCUUGGGAUAGGCUUGCGUCUGAUUAGUUAGUUGGUGUGGUAACGGCACACCAAGGCUACGAUCAGUAACUGGUCUGAGAGGAUGAUCAGUCACACUGGAACUGAGACACGGUCCAGACUCCUACGGGAGGCAGCAGUGAGGAAUAUUGGGCAAUGCUCGAAAGAGUGACCCAGCAACGCCGCGUGGAGGAUGAAGGUAUUCUAUAUCGUAAACUCCUGUGAGAGCAGACGAAAGACAGAUUAUUAAUCUGGAUGACUGUAUGCUCAGAGGAAGCCCCGGCUAACUACGUG
rnacentral:rRNA from 1 species